AUUGUUCUAGGCUUUGGGGAUAUGGGAAUGAAGAGAACAAAAAAAUCUCAGCCCUCAUGGAGCUUGCAUUCAGUGGGGCCAACAGAUAAUAGGCAAGCUAAGGGAACAGAAUGAGUUAGAAAGAGUAGAAUUAAGGAGAAAAAAAUAAAAGAGCAAGGGAAGAGGGUGUGUAUUGAACUUUUAGGGACAGUGGACCUCACCAGGAAACCUCACCAGUAAGAGGGUCAUUUGAGCCCCUCACCCGAAGGGAAGAAGGUGUGAGUGCACCUCGGGAAAGAGCUGGUACAAGUGUCUGCAGACAGGACUGGCCUGGAGGAACUUACUCAACAGUGGGAAACAGUCUGCUCUUCCUGCAGACACACACCCAGAGAGGCAACCCAUUUUCUACUUGGCAUCAUUCUUAGAUAGGUCAAGGUCAUGCUGAUGGUGAGAAGAUCCCAUGGAGUGUCAAUACACUGGGAGCUGUGCCUCUGUAUGGGCCAGGCACUGGGAAUGACUGAAGUGCCAGUUCAGCACUGGAUGACCAGCAGUGAAUGCUGAAACACAGAAGGUGAUUGAUUAAUCCUCAAUGUACCGAUUUAAACACAGGAGACAAAUCCUGCUGUGAUCCCACAUAUGCCUGGACCAGUGGUUCUCAAAGUGUGCUCCCAGGACAAGCAGCACCAGGAACUUUCUAGAAAUGCACAUUCUCAAGCCCCACUCAGACCUACUAAGUCAGAAAACUCAAGACCAAAAUGGAGUUUUGUUUUUCUCCUGACAGCAGAUGCCACAGAUUGGGCAGACCCAGGAGGCUCUUCUUUACCUGGGCGUGUGGUGAGAACUCAAGUCCGAAGCCUAUGUCUGAGCAGCCUAUCUGUACUUCAUUGAGCCUCUGUUUUCACAUCUAUAAAAUAGGGAUAACAACUACCUCAUUGCACUGAAGUGGAGGCUAAACGAGCUUCAAACAAAAAGAUCAAAGUCUGGUUAACUUCCAAGCACUGUGAAAUGCUAGCUCCUAGUACUGACAGGCAAAAGAUGUGUCUUUCUUUCUCCCAUUGGGAGUUGCCCUGACUGCGAAUCCCCCCGUAUAUGAUAGUGCUCAAGAACAUUUCCAAUAUGGUAUAGAAUGUAGUACUUGUAGCCAAAAUAGAGCACGCUUUACACUGUAAAACCACAAAUACAAGUAAAUUUGAGAGCAAGAUGAUUCAGGAGGCGAAGGGAUGAGCAAACAGUUAAAGAUCAUUCCCUCCGUUUAAUACAUAGAUGGUGUCAAAGAAGCAAAACAGCCUGUUCCAUUCUGGAAGGGCCAGUUUUUCUUUAGCUCAACAAGAGCAUGUAGUUAGGAGCACAACCAACCAAUGAAGCAAUCCACAAACAAAACAAAAACGCCAUUUAGAUGGCUGUUACCUGCUACGCAGCUGUGGUUGUCUUCUGUUCCUGAAAGCUUUUUUCUGGCCCUUUUCAUAAAGCUCAUGUCACAUGAGCUCACCCCACAUCUUCCGUCCAUUUCCUGGCCACAGCCAAGUCCAGGCACUGAGCUCAGAGUGAGACGUGGCCACAAAUUGUGGGAUCCAUUCUCUGGAG
rnacentral:lncRNA from 1 species